GACAGAGUGGGCAAGCGUUGCUCGGCAUUACUGGGCGUAAAGGGCGCGUAGGCGGGAUGGCAAGUCGGUCGUGAAAUCCCUCGGCUCAACCGAGGAACUGCGUCUGAUACUGGAUGGCUUGAGAUUGGGAGAGGGAUGCGGAAUUCCAGGUGUAGCGGUGAAAUGCGUAGAUAUCUGGAGGAACACCGGUGGCGAAGGCGGCAUCCUGGACCAACACUGACGCUGAGGAGCGAAAGCCAGGGGAGCAAACGGG
rnacentral:rRNA from 1 species